rnacentral:rRNA from 1 species
AAUGGACGAAAGUCUGAUGAUGCGACGCCGCGUGCAGGACGAAGGCCUUAGGGUUGUAAACUGCUUUUGUUUGGAAAGAACCUUGAACUCUAACAUAGUUCAAGCUGACGGUACCAUUCGAAUAAGCCACGGCCAAAUACGUGCCAGCAGCCGCGGUAAUACGUAUGUGGCAAGCGUUACUCGGAAUUAUUGGGUGUAAAGGGCAAGUAGGCGGUCAUGUAAGCGAGGGGUGAAAUCUUACGACUCAAUCGUAAAACUGCCUUUCGAACUACAUGACUUGAGGUCAAGAGAGGAAAAUGGAAUUAGCAGUGUAAGGGUGAAAUCUGUAGAUAUUGCUAAGAACACCAGCGGCGAAGGCGAUUUUCUGGCUUGACUCUGACGCUAAAUUGCGAAAGCUAGGGUAGCAAACGGAAUU